AUGUGCUUAUUAUCUUGUUUGGGUUACAGAUACGCAGUAGGAAAGCAAGGACCAAUUACGCUUGAUCUGAAGUCAUCAGCUUUUGACCCAAAGGAGAAAGUAUGGACAAGGUUCCCACCAGAAGGCUCAAAAUAUACCCCUCCACAGAGUUCUUGUGAUUUCAGAUGGAAAGAUUACUGCCUCCAAGUAUUCUGGUUGGUCAUCACCUCAGUGUCUAGAUUAAGGUUUAUCUAUCAUCAGUUACAAUUCACAUGCAUUUUUUCUCAUGAAAUGAAUUACAAGACAUUGCGCAAGUUGUUCAAGGUUGAUGCAGCAGAUUGUAUGCUAUCCCUUUGUGGGGACCAGGCUCUCCGAGGGCUCUCAUCCCCUGGUAAGAGUGGAAGCUUCUUUUAUCUCACGAGCAAUUAUCAUUACAUGAGAAAGACGAUGAAGAAAUAG
rnacentral:rRNA from 1 species